rnacentral:rRNA from 1 species
AGAGUUUGAUCCUGGCUCAGGAUGAACGCUAGCUACAGGCUUAACACAUGCAAGUCGAGGGGCAGCAUGGUCUUAGCUUGCUAAGACUGAUGGCGACCGGCGCACGGGUGAGUAACACGUAUCCAACCUGCCGUCUACUCUUGGACAGCCUUCCGAAAGGAAGAUUAAUACAAGAUGGCAUCAUGAGUCCGCAUGUUCACAUGAUUAAAGGUAUUCCGGUAGACGAUGGGGAUGCGUUCCAUUAGAUAGUAGGCGGGGUAACGGCCCACCUAGUCUUCGAUGGAUAGGGGUUCUGAGAGGAAGGUCCCCCACAUUGGAACUGAGACACGGUCCAAACUCCUACGGGAGGCAGCAGUGAGGAAUAUUGGUCAAUGGGCGAGAGCCUGAACCAGCCAAGUAGCGUGAAGGAUGACUGCCCUAUGGGUUGUAAACUUCUUUUAUAAAGGAAUAAAGUCGGGUAUGCAUACCCGUUUGCAUGUACUUUAUGAAUAAGGAUCGGCUAACUCCGUGCCAGCAGCCGCGGUAAUACGGAGGAUCCGAGCGUUAUCCGGAUUUAUUGGGUUUAAAGGGAGCGUAGAUGGAUGUUUAAGUCAGUUGUGAAAGUUUGCGGCUCAACCGUAAAAUUGCAGUUGAUACUGGAUAUCUUGAGUGCAGUUGAGGCAGGCGGAAUUCGUGGUGUAGCGGUGAAAUGCUUAGAUAUCACGAAGAACUCCGAUUGCGAAGGCAGCCUGCUAAGCUGCAACUGACAUUGAGGCUCGAAAGUGUGGGUAUCAAACAGGAUUAGAUACCCUGGUAGUCCACACGGUAAACGAUGAAUACUCGCUGUUUGCGAUAUACGGCAAGCGGCCAAGCGAAAGCGUUAAGUAUUCCACCUGGGGAGUACGCCGGCAACGGUGAAACUCAAAGGAAUUGACGGGGGCCCGCACAAGCGGAGGAACAUGUGGUUUAAUUCGAUGAUACGCGAGGAACCUUACCCGGGCUUAAAUUGCAGAUGAAUUACGGUGAAAGCCGUAAGCCGCAAGGCAUCUGUGAAGGUGCUGCAUGGUUGUCGUCAGCUCGUGCCGUGAGGUGUCGGCUUAAGUGCCAUAACGAGCGCAACCCUUGUUGUCAGUUACUAACAGGUUCUGCUGAGGACUCUGACAAGACUGCCAUCGUAAGAUGUGAGGAAGGUGGGGAUGACGUCAAAUCAGCACGGCCCUUACGUCCGGGGCUACACACGUGUUACAAUGGGGGAUACAGAGGGCCGCUACCACGCGAGUGGAUGCCAAUCCCCAAAACCUCUCUCAGUUCGGACUGGAGUCUGCAACCCGACUCCACGAAGCUGGAUUCGCUAGUAAUCGCGCAUCAGCCACGGCGCGGUGAAUACGUUCCCGGGCCUUGUACACACCGCCCGUCAAGCCAUGGGAGCCGGGGGUACCUGAAGUGCGUAACCGCGAGGAGCGCCCUAGGGUAAAACUGGUGACUGGGGCUAAGUCGUAACAAGGUA